UGCUCAUGGCGUUUGGCUUUCUGUGUCUCCCGCUCCCAAUACUCCGGCCCCUCCUGCUCUAUCCACCGCACCCGCGGCUCAUCUCUCGGAUUCUCCGCGUCGCUGUCGAAGCGCACGAACUCCGUGUUGUCCACGUAGCCGACAGAGAUGAACCAGGGCUCCCCGAGACCCGGCCGGGACACGGCGGUGGUGAAAUACCACAGCGAGUGUGAGCCUGGGGGCGGCGCGCGGUGAGACCCCGACCUCCACCCGGGACCGCGGGCGGAUGCGCGGGACAGGAGGGGAGCAGGGCGCGGGGGCCAGGGCGGCCGCCAGCAGCAGGAGCAGCGUGCACAGAGCCAUCGCCCCCAUCUGGGAUCCAGGGUGUCUGAGUCUCGCGUGCUGAGGGGACUUUAUAACCAGCGUCCGCGGCGACGCUGAUUGGUUCGCGGGAUGUCGCCACCCAAUGAUAGUGAGACCUGCCAAGAGAACUGAGAAGCACCUGAAGCCUGUGCUGUUGCUCACUGAGAAACUGACAAAGCUCUCCCUAGUCCACACCAUCAGAGAUCUGGGAAGGAUGAAUUUCUCCUGAGAAAGCAGGAAGUACAGACCAAGCAACUUCCAAAUCUAUUAAAAAUGACAGACUUAUCUGUUACCUAGACAACCACUGUGGUAUACUGCUUUUAUUGGGAACAGAGGACCCAGGGAAACAUCAGUCUCUUCUGCCCAGUCCAGAAGAUCGAAAGCAAGACAAUCAACUCCCUAGUUGUCCACAGUUUGUCCAGGGUCCUGGUGACAGACUAGAUGAAAGGCAGAUUUUUACCCAAUAGUUCUGGCUUUGUCACCUUUAAAGCAAGCUGAAGGUGGAGUUCUUCUCUACCCCAUCAUCAUCUGAGAAGAC
rnacentral:lncRNA from 1 species